GCAACUUCACCCACAGCUACCAUGACUUUGAUUCCUGUCUUCAUCUGGACACUGAUCCUCUGGACUCAAGAAUGCAGAGGUCAAGUCACAGUAACUCAGACUCCUGCAGUGAAAUCUGCUCUUCCAGGAGAAACAGUCACCAUCAACUGUAGAACCAGUCAGGCCGUGUACACAGACUCACAUGGUGACCGUUUAAACUGGUAUCAGCAAAAACCUGGAGAAGUUCCUAAACUCCUCAUAAAACUUGUAAAUCAGCGACAGUCAGGUUUUCCAGCUCGUUUCAGUGGCAGUGGAUCUGGAUCUGAUUUCACUCUGACCAUCAGUGGAGUCCAGACUGAAGAUGCAGCAGAUUACUACUGUCAGAGUGCACAUUACAUCAGUAGCAACUGGCUGUUCACACAGUGUUAUAGAGUCGUACAAAAACCUCCCUCAGUCAGAUUGUAGAGAGACUGCACUGCUGCAGCUGGGAGCGACUGCAGGUGCUGAGUUGGAGGAUGUGAUACGACACAAUGACACUCUGUGGAGGAGAGGAACAACACCACACUAACUCACAACUCACAUUAGAAAUCCCUCUAUAAUUAUAAUGAUAUGAAUACUGACUUUUUAGUAAGUUAAACAAAAUUUCCAUUAGCUUCAGCAACGAAGGAUUCAUGAGUACACCUUAAGAUUUAUAUUAGUGUUUUCAUGCAAUGUAGUCAUUUAAUAUAUAUAUGAAUUUGCCAUUCAUCUUCCCACACACAUAGCUCAGUCACAGUGAGACCGUAUCUUAAGCAUGAACCAUGACUUAGAGUUGUUUUCCUUUAAGGCCAAAUUUAAAAUGAUUCACUAGUACUAGUAUUGAAUAAGUUUAAUCGUCUCUAAGCCAUUAUUGUUCAAAAAUGUUUGGUAAAUUUUGGUGCAGUACACACAGACAUUACUGGCUGUUAAGUAUACACAGUGUCAGUUUCAUAAGUAUUUACACCCUUUGCACCAUUUUAAAUGUUUCAACUUGGAACUGAAAUGCACUUAACUGGGACGCUUCAUAAAAUAUCCAUAAUAAUAAAGUUUGGGGAAAAUCAAUAGUUUAAAUAAUUAUAACAAAUGAACAUGAAGUAAAUUAUGUGAUUGAAUAAAUAAUCAUUCUGUUAUUAAGAAAUCCCUGAAUUAAUUCUGAUCCAAAUUUCUUUUAACAAAAGUUACAGAAUUAGCUACAGUAAGUGAAGUGUGUUCACAACUAAAAAUCCGCCUGUUUUUAAAAGCGUUGAGAGUGUGUUAGAGAAACAUUAUUCACUUUGUGUCUCAUUAAACCUUCCAAAGAGUUCCAAAGAGUUUUGAAAAAUUG